CCUACGGGAGGCAGCAGUGAGGAAUAUUGGUCAAUGGACGCGAGCCUGAACCAGCCAUGUCGCGUGCAGGAUGACUGCCCUACGGGUUGUAAACUUCUUUUAUAAAAGAGUAAAGUGAGACACGUGUGCCUUUUUGUAUGUACUUUAUGAAUAAGGAUCGGCUAACUCCGUGCCAGCAGCCGCGGUAAUACGGAGGAUCCGAGCGUUAUCCGGAUUUAUUGGGUUUAAAGGGAGCGUAGAUGGGUUGUUAAGUCAGUUGUGAAAGUUUGCGGCUCAACCGUAAAAUUGCAAUUGAUACUGGCAGUCUUGAGUAUAGUUGAGGUAGGCGGAAUGCGUGGUGUAGCGGUGAAAUGCUUAGAUAUCAUGAAGAACACCGAUUGCGAAGGCAGCUUACUAAACUGCCACUGACAUUGAUGCUCGAAAGUGUGGGGAUCAAACAGGAUUAGAUACCCGAGUAGUC
rnacentral:rRNA from 1 species